rnacentral:rRNA from 1 species
CGCCUGUUUAUCAAAAACAUGUCCUUUUGUGUUGUGUAUAUAAGGUCUAACCUGCCCGAUGAUUUAUUGAAUGGCCGCGGUAUAUUAACUGUGCUAAGGUAGCAUAAUCAUUUGUCUUUUAAUUGGAGGCUAGUAUGAAUGGUUGGACAAGAUAUAAUCUUUCUUUAAUUUAUUAUCUGAAUUUAAUUUUUUAGUCAAAAAGCUAAAAUUAAAUUGAGGGACGAGAAGACCCUAUAGAUCUUUAUAUAAGUGUAUAUUAUAUAUUAUAGUGAAUUUAUUAUUGUAAUAUAUUAUUGUAUUUGGUUGGGGCGACUGUAGAAUAUAAUUAACUUCUACUUUUAUUUUUCAUUAAUUUAUGUUAAUAAUGAUCCAUUUUUAUUGAUUAAAAGAUUAAGUUACCUUAGGGAUAACAGCGUAAUUUCUUUGGAGAGUCCUUAUCGAUAAGGAAGAUUGCGACCUCGAUGUUGGAUUAAAAUAAGUUGUAUGAUGCAGCAGUCUACUAACUAGGUCUGUUCGACCUUUAAUUUUUUACAUGAUCUGAGUUCAAACCGGAG